AUUGAACGCUGGCGGCAGGCCUAACACAUGCAAGUCGAGCGAGCGGCGGACGGGUGAGUAAUGUCUGGGAUACUGCCUGAUGGAGGGGGAUAACUACUGGAAACGGUAGCUAAUACCGCAUACCAUCAGAUGUGCCAAGAUGGGAUUAGCUAGUAGGUGGGGUAUCGGCUCACCUAGGCGACGAUACCUAGCUGGUCUGAGAGGAUGACCAGCCACACUGGAACUGAGACACGGUCCAGACUCCUACGGGAGGCAGCGGUGGGGAAUAUUGCGCAAGUGGCGCAAGCCUGAUGCAGCCAUGCCGCGUGUGUGAAGAAGGCCUUCGGGUUGUAAAGCACUUUCAGCGGGGAGGCGUUACCCGCAGAGGAAGCACCGGCUAACUCCGUGCCAGCCGCCGCGGUAAUAC
rnacentral:rRNA from 1 species